GGGGUUAUAGCUCAGUGGUAGAGCUCUUGCCUAGCAUGUGUGAGGCACCAGUUCGAUUCUUAGCACCA
rnacentral:tRNA from 1 species